GUCAAUUUCUGUUCCAGUCUUUUCAAAACUUAGUUAGGUUUAGGAAAAGAUCAACAUGGUUAGGUUUAGGCAACAAACUACUUAGUUAGGUUUAAGAAAAGAUCGUGGUUUGGUUUAAAAUAACACUAGAAGUGCCGUAACUUGAGUACAGAAGUUCCAUGACAAAAACUACUUAGUUAGGUUUAGGAAAAGAUCGACUUGAUUAGGUUUAGGCAACAAACUACUUAGUCCAUUGCAACAUCACCGCCCUGCAGCAGAGCUACGCUUCCGCCAUUUGGGACUGAAAGCGACUCCUGGACGCCAGUAUAACAUCCGCCUACAAAGU